UACGUAGGGUGCAGGCGUUUAAUCGGAAUUACUGGGCGUAAAGCGUGCGCAGGCGGUUUGCUAAGACAGGUGUGAAAUCCCCCGGGCUUAACCUGGGAACUGCGCUUGUUACUGGCAAGCUGGAGUGUGGCAGAGGGGGGUGGAAUUCCACGUGUAGCAGUGAAAUGCGUAGAGAUGUGGAGGAACACCGAUGGCGAAGGCAGCCCCCUGGGCUAACACUGACGCUCGAUGCACGAAAGCGUGGGGAGCAAACAGG
rnacentral:rRNA from 1 species